rnacentral:rRNA from 1 species
AGGACAAACGCUGGCGGCGUGCAUAAAACAUGCAAGUCGAACGGACCUCAGUCCGCAAGGACUGAAGUGAGUGGCGAACGGCUGAGUAACGCGUAGGUGACCUGCCCCGAAGUUUGGGAUAACACCUCGAAAGAGGUGCUAAUACCGGAUGUGACCACCGAUUCAUUUCGGUGCUUAAAGUCGCAAGACGCUUUGGGAGGGGCCUGCGGCGGAUUAGCUAGUUGGUGUGGUAACGGCACACCAAGGCUUCGAUCCGUAGC